CAGAUUCUCCUUCAGAUUCACUUUCAGAAUCUCCUUCAGACCAUGUGAUAGCUAGCCCCUUAUUUUGGAUUUUGAGGUAAGUAGGGCAUUCAGCUCUGACGUGUCCAUACUGUAGCACCUCAAAUUUGCACCUAUCAUUGUACAUACAUUAUCAUAUUAGGUCAUAGCAUAUCAUGGUCCACUGCAUAGCAUUGCAUUGUCC
rnacentral:lncRNA from 1 species